rnacentral:rRNA from 1 species
UGAGGAAUUUUGCGCAAUGGGGGAAACCCUGACGCAGCAACGCCGCGUGAGUGAUGAAGGCCUUCGGGUCGUAAAACUCUGUCAAGUGGGAAGAACCUAUGGAGGGCUAAUAUCCCUUUGUACUGACGGUACCACUGAAGGAAGCACCGGCUAACUCCGUGCCAGCAGCCGCGGUAAUACGGAGGGUGCAAGCGUUAUUCGGAUUUAUUGGGCGUAAAGGGCGCGUAGGCGGUUUUGUAAGUCAGAUGUGAAAGCCCGGGGCUCAACCCCGGAAGUGCAUUUGAUACUGCGAGGCUUGAGUAUGGGAGGGGGAAGUGGAAUUCCUGGUGUAGAGGUGAAAUUCGUAGAUAUCAGGAGGAACACCAGUGGCGAAGGCGACUUCCUGGACCAAUACUGACGCUGAUGCGCGAAGGCGUGGGGAGCAAACAGG